rnacentral:rRNA from 1 species
AACGAACGCUGGCGGCGUGGAUAAGACAUGCAAGUCGAACGGAGAAUUUCAAUAGCUUGCUAAUGAAAUUCUUAGUGGCGGACGGGUUAGUAACACGUGAGAAUCCUACCCUUGAGUGGGGAAUAGCCUUUCGAAAGGAAGAUUAAUGCCCCAUAGUCUCUACGGAGUAAAGAUGCCUUCGGGUGUCGCUUAAGGAUGGGCUCGCGGCCUAUCAGCUAGUUGGUGAGGUAAGAGCUCACCAAGGCAACGACGGGUAGCUGGUCUGAGAGGACGAUCAGCAACACUGGAACUGAGACACGGUCCAGACACCUACGGGUGGCAGCAGUCGAGAAUCAUUCACAAUGGACGAAAGUCUGAUGGUGCAACGCCGCGUGGAGGAUGACGGCCCUAGGGUUGUAAACUCCUGUCAUCAGGGAGUAAGACUUAUUCGUUAAUAGCGUGUAAGUUUGAUAGUACCUGAAGAGGAAGGGACGGCUAACUUCGUGCCAGCAGCCGCGGUAAUACGAAGGUCCCAAGCGUUGUUCGGAAUAACUGGGCGUAAAGCGUGUGUAGGCCGCGCGGAAAGUCGGAUGUGAAAGCCCAAGGCUCAACCUUGGAACUGCAUCCGAUACUCCCGUGCUAGAGUAAUGGAGAGGUAAGUGGAAUUCUCGGUGUAGCAGUGAAAUGCGUAGAUAUCGAGAGGAACAUCAAUGGCGAAGGCAACUUACUGGACAUUCACUGACGCUCAGACACGAAGGCUAGGGUAGCGAAAGGGAUUAGAUACCCCUGUAGUCCUAGCAGUAAACGGUGCUCGCUUGGUGUGGGAGGGUUCGACCCCUUCUGUGCCGGAGCUAACGCGUUAAGCGAGCCGCCUGGGAAGUACGGUCGCAAGACUAAAACUCAAGAAAUUGACGGGGACCCGCACAAGCGGUGGAGUAUG